UCCCACACAUUGCAUUUCUUGUUUUAAUGGGGUUUUUCACUAUUUACAUUUUUAAAGGGGAUUUUCACAGGAUAAUGUCUUUGGUAGACAUGGUAUUUUGUUAAGUCUUUGGUAUACUUCUAUUACUCCACGGGUUGGAGGAUUGCCUUUGGUAGGCAGUAGUAGUUAUGUGCACAUUUCCUCUUUGGUAAGAGGUUCACCUUUGGCCAGGUGUUAAAAAGAAUUUCAAGCCUUUGGUAGGCUGUGAUGUCCUGUGAUGUACAUUUACAUAUGGGAGAUGUCCCUAGAUCCCUCUUUGGUAGAGGUUGCCUUUGGUAGGUUGUAAAACAGAUUUCCAGUCUUUGGUGGACUGUGGUAUUUAUUUAACGUAGAUGUAAAUUUUGCAGGCUAAAAUGGUUUAAAAAAAAAAAAAAAGAUGAUGGAUGUUUGGCAUUACUCCGGCUUGCUAAUUUAUGUGCUAUUUUAUGGUGUGCAACGC